rnacentral:misc_RNA from 1 species
GAUGAAGAACGUAGCGAAAUGCGAUAAGUAAUGUGAAUUGCAGAAUUCAGUGAAUCAUCGAAUCUUUGAACGCACAUUGCGCCCGCCAGUAUUCUGGCGGGCAUGCCUGUUCGAGCGUCAUUUCAACCCUCAGGCCCCCAGUGCCUGGUGUUGGGGAUCGGCCCAGCCUUCCUGUAAGGCCGCCGGCCCCGAAAUCUAGUGGCGGUCUCGCUGUAGUCCUCCUCUGCGUAGUAGCACAACCUCGCAGUUGGAACGCGGCGGUGGCCAUGCCGUUAAACACCCCACUUCUGAAAGUUGACCUCGGAUCAGGUAGGCAUACCCGCUGAACUUAAGCAUAUCAAUAAGCGGAGGA